AGGAAACUAGUAUUAAUCAACAAAAUUAUAUUCCAAAAUAUCCAACUAUUAUUAUUCACAUAUAAAAGUAAAAUAUACAAUAUUGUUUAACUAUUUAAGAGUUUACAGAAGCUUGAACAAAGUUUCAAAUAAAUAAAAGAUUCAUAGAACAUGCAAGAGUCUAGCACCGAUCAACCAAAUCUUAAGUAUCUUUACUGCUUUUAUCUUCUGCUUGUUUAUUUGAUCAACCUACAAAAGAUGAUAACUAAAUAUUAGAAAAGCUUGAGCAAAUAUAACUGUACAAUUAUAGACUCAGAUAACAACUAAAAAGAAAAUGUGAUAUAACAAAUAUUAGAAAUUGGGAUAAAAGGUUCAUUAUAUUGUAACUGUUAUAUUUACAAGAGCCAAACCACUCUAUUGCAAUUUUUGAUGGACAUAGAACCACUAUACUUAGAGAAGCUCAAGUACAAUGAGUUAACUAACUUUUUUAUUGUUACUAUCAAUUAACUAUUUGUUUUGUUGUUAUUAUCAGUUAACUAUUAAGCCACUCAUUGACCAAAGUCUUCAGAAUAGUUCUUAAAAUGACCUCAAUCUCCAACUUAAGAAACAACCGAAGUACCAAGUUCUAGCUUAUAAAAAGGGCAUUACACCAGAAAGACUGACCAAUUAUGAAGCAUAAAAAAUAAUAGAUCAAAAGAGCUUAACAUUUUUGGAUGAUAAAAGUAGGUGAUAAUGGAUAAAAGUUUUGGCACAGGGUAUAUAAAGCUCACUAGCUUCUAAAACAUAAUGAAUUCUACAAAUUGUAGAUGGGGAAGAACUGAUUCUUGGUUUUGCACUCACUUGUUUAACUAUCAUUUUUAAUUUAAAGACUUUAAGGUGUUGUUAUACAAGAGAGGGAAAAUGAACUAUCUUUAUUCAUAAAUUGGUAGUUCUCUCGUUGUGUAUUCUAUGCCAACGUCUCAAAAAACCUCUCCCACCACACAGCUCUUGGGGUAAUUGAGUAUUUUGACAAUUCUUUUAUUUGUAAGAACAUGAACUUUUACUGAGUAAAAAAUUAAUAUUAAGGUGCAACUGUCAUAAAAGCCCGUCAAAUUAACUUUUGUGAGUGACAGUCUUUUGAAAAGUCUAACUCUUUCAAUUGAUUUUAGCAUGCGACUUCUUAGAAAUACUUCCCUCAGAUUUUUCCCAUGAAGUCCAAAGAGAUUGUCCUAUGAAAAUGCAGUAUUCCACUACAACUACUCAUGAAGACAUCAUAUAUAUGAAUAUAAAUGUGCAUAUAUCGAAAAGAGAUGUUGAAAAGAACACACCAUCACAUAUCAAAGUGGCAGCAAAAAAUAUUAAAGUUCUUACCUUAUCAAAGGAAGAAGAGAACUAUCACCAUUACCAGCAGUUUUCAAGCAAGAGAAUGUUGUAGCUACAAAAAAUAAAAAUAGCAUUUACAAUAAUGCAAAAGAAAAUUACAGCUAUCUCUAACCCGAGUUUUGUCAAAUCCCAUUAACUGCAGCAAGGUGACAAUCUUUCAGAGAAAAUGAAGUUGACUUAAUUACUAACAACACAAGUUCAUUAAAAGAUUUGCUUGAAGUGGGAUUUCACAUUACCAUUUCCAUACUUCUCUAUAUCUGAAGUGAAAAUUUUAGUAUUCUUAAAUCCUACCAUACCAGUCACCUUUUCAUAUAUGUGUGCUUAUGCAAAAUAUUGCCAUACUAAAUAAUAUACAAUCCAACAGAAGAGAUUAAAAAAUGAAGAAGAACUGCCCAAGUAAGUCAAAUAUGGCAUUAAGUAAUAGUAUAACUGAGAAACUAAUGGAGGAGCCAAAGGAAAAUGUCCCACCACUACCACAGAUGACAUAUCCAGCUUAUGACAAUAUGAACAACAUGCCUUAGGUUUUUGUUGAAUAAAGUAUAGUGAACCAUACCUUCAGUUGUAAAAUUAAACUCUUUGAUAGAAGCUGCUAAAAAAUCCUCUUUCCAGUGUCUUCCCAGUUGCACUAGGAACAAAUAAUUUUUCUUUUGACUGAUAUUCACUUCCUCCUCCCCUUCAUUUUCACUUCAUUCUUUCUGUAAUCAACCAAAUCAGAUACCAAAAUAACAAAUCAAAUCCACAAAUAGCAGUAGUACACUUUUCCCCUUAGCAUAUCUUGAAAUAGGACUAAAUAAAACUUAAGAGAAAAAAUAUACAGCAUCCAAAUUUCGUCUUCGGCAGAUCUAAUAAUUAAAAUCCACCAACUCAACUUUAAUUUCUCAAACUAGAAACCCUACCAAAUUAAACUCCCUUUUUCCAAAUUAGAAAUCAUAAUCACAAAAUGUAUCGGCAUAAUACAAAGAAAAAGAGAAACAGAAGCACGAAAUUUCUAAACAAGAAUAACAGAUUUAUGAGAAAAAAGUUACCUCUUGUUCAAACUCCAAAAUCCUCAAUCUCAGUCAUAGAUGAGAGAAAGCAAGAACAACGAAUAGAAGGAGAUGGUGGAGGGGAAACCUAUGCCAGAGGGGAAGUCUACGUCGUAGGUCGCCUUGCCUUCGCUGCAGCGUCGAUGCUGGCUGUGUGAGAAGUGUUUUAGGGCAAGGGGUUUUAGCCUUUUAGGUGAUUUAAGACUUAGAAAAACCAAAAAAGCUAUUUAAAAAAGAGGUCGUGGCUGUGUAUUUU
rnacentral:lncRNA from 1 species